rnacentral:rRNA from 1 species
GACGAACGCUGGCGGCGUGCUUAACACAUGCAAGUCGAACGGUGAAGCGCCUUCCUUUUUGGUGGGUGUGGAUGAGUGGCGAACGGGUGAGUAACACGUGAGUAACCUGCCCCCUUCUUCUGGAUAACCGCAUGAAAGUGUGGCUAAUACGGGAUAUUCUGGGUCUGUCGCAUGAUGGGUCUGGGAAAGAUAUUGUUUCGGUGGGGGAUGGGCUCGCGGCCUAUCAGCUUGUUGGUGGGGUGAGGGCCUACCAAGGCGGUGACGGGUAGCCGGCCUGAGAGGGUGGACGGUCACACUGGGACUGAGACACGGCCCAGACUCCUACGGGAGGCAGCAGUGGGGAAUAUUGCACAAUGGGCGCAAGCCUGAUGCAGCGACGCCGCGUGAGGGAUGGAGGCCUUCGGGUUGUGAACCUCUUUCGCCAGUGAAGCAGGCCUGCCUCGUUUGUGGGUGGGUUGACGGUAGCUGGAUAAGAAGCGCCGGCUAACUACGU